rnacentral:piRNA from 1 species
UUGCUGAGGAGGCAGUGUCGUAAGGACUG